GAUGAACGCUGGCGGCGUGCCUAAUACAUGCCAGUCGAGCGAACGGACGAGAAGCUUGCUUCUCUGAUGUUAGCGGCGGACGGGUGAGUAACACGUGGAUAACCUACCUAUAAGACUGGGAUAACUUCGGGAAACCGGAGCUAAUACCGGAUAAUAUUUUGAACCGCAUGGUUCAAAAGUGAAAGACGGUCUUGCUGUCACUUAUAGAUGGAUCCGCGCUGCAUUAGCUAGUUGGUAAGGUAACGGCUUACCAAGGCAACGAUGCAUAGCCGACCUGAGAGGGUGAUCGGCCACACUGGAACUGAGACACGGUCCAGACUCCUACGGGAGGCAGCAGUAGGGAAUCUUCCGAAAUGGGCGAAAGCCUGACGGAGCAACGCCGCGUGAGUGAUGAAGGUCUUCGGAUCGUAAAACUCUGUUAUUAGGGAAGAACAUAUGUGUAAGUAACUGUGCACAUCUUGACGGUACCUAAUCAGAAAGCCACGGCUAACUACGU
rnacentral:rRNA from 1 species